AAUCAACGCUGGCGGCGUGCCUAACACAUGCAAGUCGAACGAGAAAGGGACUUCGGUCCUGAGUACAGUGGCGCACGGGUGAGUAACACGUGACUAACCUACCCUUGAGUGGGGGAUAACUUCGGGAAACCGAGGCUAAUACCGCAUAAUACCUACGGGUCAAAGGAGCAAUUCGCUUUAGGAGGGGGUCGCGGCAGAUUAGUUAGUUGGCGGGGUAAUGGCCCACCAAGACGGUGAUCUGUAUCCGGCCNGAGAGGGCGCACGGACACACUGGAACUGAAACACGGUCCAGACUCCUACGGGAGGCAGCAGUGGGGAAUUUUGCGCAAUGGGGGAAACCCUGACGCAGCAACGCCGCGUGGAGGAUGAAGUCCCUUGGGACGUAAACUCCUUUCGAUCGGGACGAUAAUGACGGUACCGGAAGAAGAAGCCCCGGCUAACUUCGUGCCAGCAGCCGCCGUAAU
rnacentral:rRNA from 1 species